GGGUCCUUCUUCUGGUCAGGAUUCAGUUUUCAGUCCAUAUUCGGCUGGCUUCACGGCUCUUGGGCCUGUGGCAAGGCAGAAGCAUCCCAAGCAUCCUGGUGGAA